rnacentral:lncRNA from 1 species
CUUGGCUUAGGCUAACGCAGCUAGCGGUGCAUGAGGCUAGUUAAGCUAAUUACGGAUACAGUUUUCAUGAGUUAGUUUAUAAUAUAACUUUCUUGCCAUGGUAGAAGUUACUGAACGUGUCUUUCACUGGAUUGUGUAGAUUUAGCCUUGCCCAACUUGGCAACCCGAUGUAGCUUCGUGGCUGGGGAGGGGUGGGCAGUGCAGACUACUCUCCGUGGUGUUUUGAAAUUGGACGCUCCAGCUAUUUCACACCUCGCUCUCUUUUCCUACAGAAUGUAACGUUACCUUUAACUUAGACGCAAGCCACCUAAACAACAAUGAAGCAGCAGGCAGCACACAUGCAGCUCGGUGGUCUCUCUGCCCUCAUUCCGUGCACGUUGCUGUCGGUGCUCAGCAUCAGUCAGCACACCACAGAGUGAAAUGGAGCCAGGAAAGCCUCCCACGUGGAACUGACCGCAGGAGCGGGACUGAAGCAACGGCCGCCAGUCAAAGGGUUAUCACCCCCUAACGUGCGCCUCUGGUGUUCUGGUUCUGCUGCCGCCGUUGGAUCGGCGUGUCUGCACGCUUACGCUGCUGUCUUUCCUGCCAUUGAUUAGGGGUAUCAAGCCCCAUCUGUGUCCGCUGGCGGCCGCCUCGGAGGAGCACUGACACUGACACUGUGCGUGUGUAAUUAGACAUCAGCUCGGGGAUGCUCAGCGAGCGCCGCGUGACUGAGAGAAGUGGCCCUGAGGCGCACGAGCAAGGUGGCGCUAAGAAGCUAAUUAUCAGUUUCCUGACAGUGAGUUGAACAUCUUUCUCUCUUUCGGUCUCUGUACAUGGAUUCACGCCAGUUCACUUCUUAUAAACUCAUUCAGUAAAUCUAAUUUACUCAGGCUACGCUUAGGGCAAGGCAAAAUUUACGUUUCAAUCACUGAAAUCUGCGGAUAAAAGGUCUGGGAAGUAAAUGUUAUGAAAAGGUGUUUUAGUAUACACUGCCAGGCAAAAAAAAAAAGUCACUUGGAUUUAAAUGAUGUGGGGUUGAUGCUGGAGUUGGUCAGGUUUAGGUUCAGCAACAGUAUGUGCUGAAAGAAUGAGGUCAGCUGACUACCUGAAUAUACUGAAUAUAGACCAGGCUAUUCCAUCAAUGGAUUUUUUCUUCCCUGAUGUCACGAGCAUAUUUCAAGAUGAUAAUGCCAGAAUUCAUGGGGCUGGAAUUGU